rnacentral:lncRNA from 1 species
AACAAAAUUUUCAAAAAUUCAAUCUUGGAACCCAGUUUUUUCCCAAAUUGCAUUUCUGACCCUUGUCAAAUCUCCUCCUUUCAAGGUCCUGCCCACGCCCUCGUGAACCGAAAAGGAAACGAUUCUCGUCCUCGCCAUCUGCCUCGCCAAAAACUCGUGCGGCGGUACCCUCACGCCAUCCUCACCUCCACCGUACCCGUCAUCGUCGUCGCUGUCCUCUGCCGCCCUCCUCCGACUGUCCCUAUACUCGUCCUUCAAAAUC